CCUGGUGGGAGGAGCACAGCCUAGGUGGGCAGGCAAGAGCAGUUUUUCAGCAAGUAGGUCAGACUGAGGGGAAUUGGUUAUAUCAGUGCUCAGCCUUCAAUCAUAUGAGGGAAGUAGGCUGCUUAGGAGGUAAUCAGGGUCCAUGCUUCAAACUAGGGGUGAAAGUUCACAUCGGGAUCCAGGAGACCAUUGCAGAAUUGACAUCAACUGAUAACUGUAGCUGUGCAUAUCUGUUUGGUAAAUCUCCAAUUCCCCUUCAGCAGCUGUGGAAAAACUUAUGUGGGCAUAUCUCACCACCAUGCAGCUCAGGAGCAAGCAGAAGUGGUCUGUGUUACAAGUUAACAUCCAGCAAUUCAUGAUAGACUUCUUCCUACCAUCACAUGGAGAAAACGUCACAUUUCAGAUUAGAGGCCUCGUUCUGAAGAAAAGAGAAAUUGGUCAGAAGUAGUGGUGAUUUCACAAUACCAUCACAUGAAGAACUGACUUCAGGCCACUAACUUUUCAGGGAUGCCUGUGUUUAAG